CGAGCUCAUAAAGCGGCAUUGAAACCUUGUAAUAAAUGUAUUUCAGUGUUUUCAAUUUAUAAAUUUAAUAAAACCCAACGCGAGCAACAAACAGGAAUUUUAAAAACACUUGGUGUGGGAUACGAAGUUCGAUCUUUUUCGUGUAACCGAGGUUUAAGGAACUGGGAGAAACAUGAUGACACGUGUAUAGAGCAUUGCAAGUGGUUUCCCGGAUGUACAUUUGCAAGGGAAACAAAAGGAGAUGCAUUCAUUGAACAAAUACAACAAAGUGCGAACACGCCGAAAACUAUGUUGAAUGACGCAACUUACCCUUCGGCAGAAGUUCAUCACCAUAAUGACCUUGAGCUUGAUAUGGAUCUUGUGACAAUGAAGGCCGUAUGCAUGGGUGAAAUGGGG